rnacentral:rRNA from 1 species
AUGAAGUUCGCCAAGGAGUACAAGAGAUAUAUGCAGGGGAUGAAGGAGGAACUGCCCACUUUGGGGCUGAAGCGUCUGAAACAAAUGAUUAAGAAAUGCAACGCUAUUCCCUAUUGCCCUCAGCUCCCCGGCGACGACACCACCAUGGUCGUCACGGGGCAUAGCCAGUUACGUGAUGAGAGUUUCUUUCCAUCCCUUUCCAAUGAGCUGUCAGCAAUCGUUCGCUGCUUCAAUGAAAGGGUCGAAAAGUUACUUAAAUUGCAUGUAGCAUCCACGGGAUUGAGGAAGUACUUCAUGUGGUUCACAAACAGGUCUCUAAGGACUGAUGAGGCACUAGUACGGCAAGGAAAAGACCUAGUUACCUAUGCUAUUGUAAAUGCUGUAGCCAUGAGGAAAAUCACAAAGAAGUAUGACAAGAAAUGUUGCUCAAAACAAGGGCAGUCUUUCAGAACUGAAGCGCGGAGGCUGCACAUCGAGAUACUUGAAUCCCCGUGGCUGCACGAGCUCAUGGCUUUGUACAUCAACUUGAGGUGGAACAAAACCGUUUCAAUGGACCUCUUAGUGGACCUCUCCCUCACAUUCGGCGAUGAGGAUAAGCCGACACUCUCUUGUAACCUCUUGGAUUCCAUGCGGGUCGACAUCGACUUAACCUGUUCAAUCUGCUUGGACACAGUGUUCGAUGCAGUCUCUCUUUCAUGUGGCCACAUCUUCUGCUACCCGUGUUGCAGCGCUGCAGCCUCUGUGACAGUUGUUGAUGGACUCGAGUCUGCAGAUCCUGGAUCAAAAUGCCCGAUUUGUCGCCGGGCCGGUGUCUUUCCUAACGCUGUGCGGCUGAAUCAGCUCAACAUUCUGCUUAGAAACAGUUACCCGGAGUACUGGGAGAAGAGGAUGCAAACCGAGCGUGUUGAGCGUGUUCGCUUGGCCAAGGAGCAUUGGGAAAGACAAUGCAGAGCGUUCACGAGCAUAUGA